UACAGAGGUCUCAAGCGUUGUUCGGAUUCAUUGGGCGUAAAGGGUGCGUAGGCGGUUCAGUAAGUCGGGUGUGAAACCUCCAGGCUCAACCUGGAGACGCCACCCGAUACUGCUGUGACUGGAGUCCGGUAGGGGAGCGUGGAAUUCCUGGUGUAGCGGUGAAAUGCGCAGAUAUCAGGAGGAACACCAGCGGCGAAGGCGGCGCUCUGGGCCGGAACUGACGCUGAGGAGCGAAAGCGUGGGUAGCAAACAGG
rnacentral:rRNA from 1 species